rnacentral:rRNA from 2 species
CUGUAAUGGUAUUUAAGAUAAAGGGAGUAAAGUCUGCAGGUAACGUAUCCCAUUGAUUGAUGGUGCUUGCAUCUGAUUGAUUUUGGUCGGCACGAGUGGCGGGCGGGUGAAUAACACGUAGGUAACCUGCCCAGAAGCGGGGGACAACAUUUGGAAACUGAUGCUAAUACCGCAUAACAACGUUGUUCGCAUGAACAACGCUUAAAAGAUGGCUUCUCGCUUCACUUCUGGAUGGACCUGCGGUGCAUUAGCUUGUUGGUGGGGUAACGGCCUACCAAGGCGAUGAUGCAUAGCCGAGUUGAGAGACUGAUCGGCCACAAUGGGACUGAGACACGGCCCAUACUCCUACGGGAGGCAGCAGUAGGGAAUCUUCCACAAUGGGCGCAAGCCUGAUGGAGCAACCCCGCGUGAGUGAAAAAGGGUUUCGGCUCGUAAAGCUCUGUUGUUAAAGAAGAACACGUAUGAGAGUAACUGUUCAUACGUUGACGGUAUUUAACCAGAAAGUCACGGCUUACUACGUGCCAGCAGCCGCGGUAAUACGUAGGUGGCAAGCGUUAUCCGGAUUUAUUGGGCGUAAAGAGAGUGCACGCGGGUUUCUAAGUCUGAUGUGGAAGCCUUUUGCUUAACCGGACAAAGUGCAUCGGAAACUGGAUCACCUUGAGUGCAGAAAAAGGUAUUGGAACUCCCUGUGUAUCCGGGGGAAAUGCUUAUAUAUAUGGAACAACACCCUUGGGGGAAAGCGGCUACCUUGGGCUGCCAGAUGACGCCCGAGACCCCCAGAGGGUUGUGUACCAAACAAAGAUUAGAUACA